GCAGCUCAGUGGCAGAGAAGCUGCUUUCUGUGCAGAAGGUCCCAGGUUCAAUCCCCGACAUCUCCA